rnacentral:rRNA from 1 species
GACGAACGCUGGCGGCGUGCCUAACACAUGCAAGUCGAGCGGGGAUUUAAGUGGAAGUUCUUCGGAAUGGAGGUUUAAAUUCUAGCGGCGGACGGGUGAGUAACGCGUGAACAAUCUGUCACGUACAGGGGGAUAACACUUGGAAACAGGUGCUAAUACCGCAUCAGACCACGGCCUCGCAUGUGGCUGAGGUAAAAGGAGCAAUCCGGUUCGGGGUGAGUUCGCGUCCGAUUAGCUAGUUGGUGAGGUAACGGCCCACCAAGGCGACGAUCGGUAGCCGGCCUGAGAGGGUGAACGGCCACAUUGGAACUGAGAGACGGUCCAAACUCCUACGGGAGGCAGCAGUGGGGAAUAUUGGGCAAUGGGCGAAAGCCUGACCCAGCAACGCCGCGUGAGGGAAGAAGGUUUUCGGAUUGUAAACCUCUGUCCUAUGGGACGAAGGAAGUGACGGUACCAUAGGAGGAAGCCCCGGCUAACUACGUG